rnacentral:tRNA from 1 species
GCGGGUGUAGUUUAGUGGUAGAAUUCUAGCCUUCCAAGCUAGUCGUGUGGGUUCGAUUCCCAUCACCCGCUCCA